rnacentral:rRNA from 1 species
AAAUUGAAGAGUUUGAUCAUGGCUCAGAUUGAACGCUGGCGGCAGGCCUAACACAUGCAAGUCGAACGGUAACAGGAAGCAGCUUGCUGCUUUGCUGACGAGUGGCGGACGGGUGAGUAAUGUCUGGGAAACUGCCUGAUGGAGGGGGAUAACUACUGGAAACGGUGGCUAAUACCGCAUAAUGUCGCAAGACCAAAGAGGGGGACCUUCGGGCCUCUUGCCAUCAGAUGUGCCCAGAUGGGAUUAGCUUGUUGGUGAGGUAACGGCUCACCAAGGCGACGAUCCCUAGCUGGUCUGAGAGGAUGACCAGCCACACUGGAACUGAGACACGGUCCAGACUCCUACGGGAGGCAGCAGUGGGGAAUAUUGCACAAUGGGCGCAAGCCUGAUGCAGCCAUGCCGCGUGUAUGAAGAAGGCCUUCGGGUUGUAAAGUACUUUCAGCGGGGAGGAAGGUGUUGCGGUUAAUAACCGCAGCAAUUGACGUUACCCGCAGAAGAAGCACCGGCUAACUCCGUGCCAGCAGCCGCGGUAAUACGGAGGGUGCAAGCGUUAAUCGGAAUUACUGGGCGUAAAGCGCACGCAGGCGGUCUGUCAAGUCGGAUGUGAAAUCCCCGGGCUCAACCUGGGAACUGCAUUCGAAACUGGCAGGCUUGAGUCUUGUAGAGGGGGGUAGAAUUCCAGGUGUAGCGGUGAAAUGCGUAGAGAUCUGGAGGAAUACCGGUGGCGAAGGCGGCCCCCUGGACAAAGACUGACGCUCAGGUGCGAAAGCGUGGGGAGCAAACAGGAUUAGAUACCCUGGUAGUCCACGCCGUAAACGAUGUCUACUUGGAGGUUGUGCCCUUGAGGCGUGGCUUCCGGAGCUAACGCGUUAAGUAGACCGCCUGGGGAGUACGGCCGCAAGGUUAAAACUCAAAUGAAUUGACGGGGGCCCGCACAAGCGGUGGAGCAUGUGGUUUAAUUCGAUGCAACGCGAAGAACCUUACCUGGUCUUGACAUCCACAGAACUUUCCAGAGAUGGAUUGGUGCCUUCGGGAAC